UACGGGGGGGAGCAAGCGUUGUUCGGAUUUACUGGGCGUAAAGGGCGCGUAGGCGGCCACCGCAAGUCAGUUGUGAAAUCUCUGGGCUUAACCCAGAAAGGUCAACUGAUACUGCGGGGCUAGAGUGCAGAAGGGGCAACUGGAAUUCUCGGUGUAGCGGUGAAAUGCGUAGAUAUCGAGAGGAACACCAAUUGCGAAGGCAGCUCGCUAAACUGUAACUGACGCUGAGGCACGAAAGCGUGGGGAUCAAACAGG
rnacentral:rRNA from 1 species